rnacentral:rRNA from 1 species
UACGUAGGGCGCAAGCGUUAUCCGGAAUUAUUGGGCGUAAAGAGCUCGUAGGCGGUUUGUCGCGUCUGCCGUGAAAGUCAGGGGCUCAACCCCUGAAUGCGGGUGGAUACUGCUGGGCUAGAGUCCGGAAGAGGCGAGUGGAAUUCCUGGCGUAGCGGUGAAAUGCGCAGAUAUCAGGAGGAACACCAAUGGCGAAGGCAGAUCUCUGGGCCGUAACUGACGCUGAGGAGCGAAAGCAUGGGGAGCGAACAGG